AUAUGAUUGACAGACACAUCGCUGUUGCUUAGAGAGUUACAGUGUAGAAAGGUGAUCGUCAUAUGUGUAAAUGACCAUAAACAAUGAUACAGACUUAAAGGGAAAUCAAAUUUUAGCGAGGGAGAGAUUGUGACGAGCCCUAUGGAAGACACAUGAUUUGAAUAGAGAUUUGAGAAGUUAAUGGCUCAAUAUAGAAAUUUUGUGCUUCUAUAAUAACCACAUUUUCUAGUCUGGAGAGGGGUAUAUGUUGGGGAAUGUGGAAAUGAUGCUUAAAAACCACUUGAUUUAAUAGCUCGAAAUCGAAUAUCAAAAUUAUGUCACUCUUCUUUGUGGUCCUCAAGCUGGUAGCCAUGUUGGCUGCAGCUGUUUCAGACAUUAUAUCCAGAUCCAACAGCACCUCAUAGAUAAGGGUUUCUGUCUCUUACCAAAGUUCUUAGGAGAGAAACCCUGGAGCUCUUUCUCUCACUUCUCAUUGGUGAGACACACAUCACAUGCCAACUCCUGAAUCAACUCCUGGCAACAGGAAAUUGCCUCGUUGUCCUUACAUCCACCUGGCUUUUCUAUGGAGACAGGGGUGAAGUCAGCCUCUCCUGGGGCAGGAGGCUGAGCACAGAAGGGAUAGAGAACUUAAGCAAACUUGAAAUUCUAUAUGCAAGAAAGGAAGGAGAAAAUUGAUGCUGUGUCUGCAACGAAUGCUAUGUACCAGUAGAGAAAUUAUGACAAUUUGAUGUGGAAUUAGAAAAACCUGUUCUGUCAUUGGGAACAUGGUUCUCCAGCGCGUCCUCCUCUGAUUAAACUGGAGUCCCAGGAUAGAAGCUGCUGAGUCAGCAGGUCUGGGGAGGAUUCAGGAGUUUUCUCAUGGCCCCAGAAUGAUGCAGUGGAAUGUCCCACCUCCUGAUUGCCACCUGUGCAGACGUGAACACAACAUACGUGAGAGUGCCUGUACAAAUGCUGCACAGGAGAAGGGGCCAGGGUCAGGGCACAGACAGGCAUAGGCCUUCAGGGAGCCUUCUGCCCAGCAAGAAGCUAUUCACCACAGUGAAGUGGGAUUUUGCAAGGAGAGAUUUAAACCUUGAGAACCAUUCCUCAACCAUGCUGGUCUCUAUUUUACUCACCUACUAUGCUUGGAGGAAGGAUGCCCAAGUUGGAUGCUGCUGCUUAGCGGGACCAUCCAGCCCCUGGGUCUUUGUAUCUUUCUACCACCUCUCUGGACAGCCUAACAGGCACCUGGCACCCAACUGCAGCCAAGAGAACAGGGUCUCCCUGCAGGGUGGUGCACAGGGUGGCAGAGAGCCCAGCCUCUACAUCCUGCUGUCCCCAAGUCUGGGCAGUGGGUAUCCCCCAGUCAGAUCCUACUUAUUAGCAAUUCAUGAAGGAGUUAGACAUUGUGGCAUUUUAUUAACAGAACAAAAUGACUAGGAAUGCAGGAGGUCUCACCAUGGAAUAAAAUGUAUGCAGUAUACUAUAGCAUUAAAGUCAACAUGUGUACAUAAGUGUUCAAAAACUACUCUGGUGAUUGCAGCUGUUAAUUUCAUUGUGUUUAUAGAGAUUCAAGUUAGAGAAACUCUCGGGCUUUUGAUUAUAUGAUCUCUGUUUAAAUAUCUGGACAUAACACAGCAAAUAGAAUGCAAUACAAUUUUAGCACAAAGCCUACUCCUGCCUAUGCUAGUUAGGAAUGCACGUAACUGCAAGCUCAGCAAAACCCCAAACAAGAAUGAUUUGACUAAGACAGAAGUGCUUUUCUUUCACAUUAAAUCUGGAAGUAGGCAGUCCAAACCUGGUAUGUGUUUUCUACUUCCUAAAAUACUCAGGACCCCACACUCCUAUUUCAAUCAAGGGAUCUAUUUCUAAUCAAGGGAUCUAUUUCUAACCAAGGGUGGCUCUUAAUCCCAAAGCCACUGUGUGACUCAAUAAAGUGAUUCCAGCUCCAGCCAUCACAUCACAAGCCCACCAUGUAGUAGGAUCAAGGAACGGAAGAAUAAGGAAAAUGCCCUAGCAUUUUAGGGACCCUUUCUGGCAGCUGCACACCACUGUUAUUUGAAUCCCAUUGGGUUGAAUUCAUAGCCCAAACAACACGUAAGGGGCACUGGAGAAUGACUCUACUCUGGGUAGCCAUUGGACCAAGUUAAAAUUUCCAUGACUCUGUGACUAAGGGAAGACAAGUAAGACUAAGCAGCCUCUGUCUCUCCUUGCUAAGGAAUCACUAGAACCUCUAGUGGGGCAUGUGGAAGUCCUUUUCAGUCCUUCCAAUGUCCCCUGUCUCUGCAUCCCAGGCCUGUGUCUCAGUGAUUCUCUUCCAUGUCCUUUGGGACAAUCUGUCUGUGCAGGGAGGGAUGGAAAUGACAUUUUCCCGUAUUUUUAAGAAAGUGGGAUGGGACCUGUGGCAUUUUUAAAGUGAAAUGUUGCAGCCCUCACCUCACUGUUAGAGGCACAUGGGUUAUAAUGUCUAGCUGGGCUGAGCCAGCUUGAAGGACCCCAGGAAGAGCCUCACUGGUGAUUUUUUUCCCUGAGUUAGAAGUGUAGAGAUGAUGCAGUCUUGGCAUUGGAGAUCUAUUCUUCUUUGAUGCAUUCUCUCUGCAGUGAGAAUACCAGGACCCUGGUCCCUGCUUCUGGGUGCUCUAUUCUCUCUUCAUAUCGUUCUAGCCAUUGGGAAGAGGACAUGAUAUACUCUUGUUUUUGGCAGAAAGAGAGCACUGUCUAGGUAGGGAGCCAUUGCAAGGGGCUCUCUCACUUUGCUGAAGUCCUGGGCUCUGACACUUGGCUGCCUGAAAUAGGGGACACCCUCCAAUAUCUGGUAAAUGUGUGUGCAUUAUACCUGUGUGUGGGUUAUGUGGCUGGUGGAACUGACAAGGACUCUCCUGCACAAAUAUGGAAACAUCGAAUUUCCAAGUUUAACUGGAACUUGAAAUUCCCAGGUUACUGGGCCUCAGUCCCACACACAGAAAACCAUCUUCAUGCUUUGAAGCUUGUGUGUUUACCUAUCCCUUACUCCUUCUUGCUUUCCAGCUUUCAGGUGGAGUGAACUACACUCAGGGAGGGAGCUGCAGGAAGAUAGCCUUUGUGGGCUCCCAGGACUUGCUGUGGUCAGCAACCAUCCCCUUAAGACUAUACCCCAAGUGGCUGCUCAGUGCCAUUGAACACUGGGGCAAAUAUUCUGAUUCAGGCAAGUGGAGGAUGGAAUGGGCCGCAGAGCUCUGCACCCCAGUGCCUAUAAAUUAGGAUUAAAUUCCAUGCAACAAGCCUUUUUCCUUUGUGCAAUUUUUGCUGGACAAAUUAAAAACUCCCUAGACAUUCCUGUGGCAUGAAUGACAUUCGUGAACUUUCCCUGUUCCGAGUACAGGGUUGCAGGCUUUAAAGGCACUUUAUCCUCCCAGAAAUGCUUUGAGAGAAACUCUAUUCUUGGCUUGGGUGAGGCCAUGUGAAAUGUCUCCCCACCCUCUUCAUGCCCUCUCCUCUAUCAUAAAGGUAGAAGCUGUCUUCCUGCUCUUCCUGUGGCAAGGGAAAGCCAAGGGAUGACUGCAACCAGUGAGACAUAAGCUGUAAUUUCUUCUCCUCUGGAGAAGACAAGGAAGCCUCGCAGCAGAUGGCUGCAUGCUGUCUGCCUUCUUCCUGUCUGGAAUGCAGGCACUGAGCCUCGGGAGGUGCAGCGUGAGCGUGAACAUCACAAGUAAAGAUGGUAGAACAAGCCUGAGUCCCUGAGUCUUCUGCCCACAGAGCCCUGGGAUUCCAGCUGCAGUAACUCCCUUUCUAGUUAAGCCUGGACUCACUGUGCAAAUGUGUAGCUCCCUGUCACAUCAGAAACCCAGGGUUGGAGAAGUUGUGUCGUGUGCUCAGUGCCAUGUGGCGCUCCUAUAGCACCACUGGCAUCCUAGUGUGUCUGACACCAUUGCCUGUGCUAAACCAGCUACCAUCUACUUGCCUCCUUUAAGAACUAGGGUCUGGAAUUAUCUAGGGGCUCCGGAACCUUCUGAAACCACCUCACCCAUUCCUUCCUUGUUCCCAAGGAGUCCUGUGGGUUCAGCUUCCCGUAAGGAAAUGUGAACCAGACCUUUCCCAGCCAUGGCUGGGUGUGUCUCCCAGCCAGCAGGCCCACAAGAAGGCACAUAACUCCAAAUGCCAGCUGAUGUAGGUCCAGUGACUUACUUGUCCCUUUACUAGUCCCAUGGCAGACAUUUAGGCAUGGCUUUCAGAUAGAUGUCUCUGUUCUAAAGGAGAAGAACUCAGUGUUUGAUUUCUCUUGAAAGAACUCUCCAACAGCCUCUCCAAAAGCCCCUCGGGGACCCAGAGGCAAGGAGGAACCUUGCUUAUGAUCCUUCUGAGAUCCCUGCAGUUGACUGGCAUCUUCACACUCACUAGACCUCUUUGUCUAUCGGGUACCACCCCCAUCCUGCCAGGUAACUGAACUAUGGAGGCUAUCAGAGGUUUCCAACAUUCCUCCUACCCUUGGAAGCAAAGCCACCCAACAUUUGCAUCAGGAGGUCAUUGCUGCACCUGCUUACAACAUACAGGUAUCCUCUUUAUGUGGAGCCUCUAUGAAGCCUCCUCUUUUCUUGAAAAAUUUGCUGAAUUUUAUCCCGUGAACACUGGGACUCAUAUACUAGGUAAUUGAUGGGGGUAGAGUUCAGGACAUAUCACCCCAACACAUGGCACCUUGACAUUUGAGACAACAGCAGUAAUAAGAAGGUCCCUUUCACCCUCCCCUGGUCCUUUCUUCCCCCAAGUAGAGCAUAAAACCAAGGAAGAUCCCUCUCCAACUUCCUCCUGCCCUUUUCCUGUGAAGCAGGUCAUAAUGCUCUCAUUUGAGAGGUGCCCUAUACCUGGAAGAAAGGAAUACCACUAUCUUUGAAAAUGCAGAGACAGAGAAGAAUCUGAACCAGGAGGCAUUGCUGAUCUAAACAAAUGGAUACAACCUUUUGUACUAUGGUGCAGAAUUACAUAUUUCCAGUCAUCUUUGGUUUAUAUCAGCGUAAGAACUUGUGGAAGAGACUUAAUUUUCUUCCAGAACCCAUUCUUCACUCUGCAAGGACUGGAGCCAGACUGUCUGUCCAGCUCUCUGCUAUGGCCUGGGAAAGCAGUGGAAGAUGGCCCAAGUGCCUGGUACUUUGCACCCAGAUGGGAGACCAUGAAGAAGCACCUGGCUCUUGGCUUCAGGCAUAUUAGUAGGGAGCUGAAUCGGAAGUGGAGCAGCCAAGACUCAAACCUGCACCCAUAUGGAAUGCCGGCAUCACAGGCUGUGGCUUUACCUGCUACUCCACAAUGCCAGCCUCACUAGAAGGACUGCAACAACACUGGCACACCUGCUGCUCUGAAAGUGGUUUCUGCAAUCCCCAUAGCCAAAGGACCUGCUUCGGGAGUCCUCCAGUCCUUGCAAAGAAGAAAGGAACUGUGACACGUUUCAUGAAAGAAGUUGCUCCCAUAGGCUUCUCUCUCUGAGGCUGGGAUGAGACAGCAGAAGCAAGAAUCUUUUUGGAGAGGGCUCAAGGGAUGGCUUUCUAUUAUUAGCUAUUGGUAAAGUAAUUAAACUUGGUAAGCCUGCAACCUUGGUUUUCGAGAAUUCUCUCUCCUGGACAGUCGACGAGUCUUGACAGGGAGCAAUGUGGGAAUCACAGAUGUGCAGUAGGGUAAGAACACACACCUCAGAAGGAUGCAGCUUGGCCACCUCGUGGGUUUGCAAGCAAAUUUAGAAAUAGAGGACUUCUUAGGAACUUUGAAACAUACUCAAAUAGAAGGUCAUGCUUUGAAAGCGAGAGGACAGAAGUCUUCCGCUAGUAGCUGAUAUAAAACAGACUGCAGAAGGGAGAGAAUGUUGCUAUCUACUAUAACUCAUAGCCACAAAUAUGCCUAAGACUAUGUCUCCACUUUUCCUCCCUGAAGACCAGAGGUGAAUAAGAAAAACUGAUUUGUUGGAUACAGCCACUUUAGUAACUGCUUCAGUUAUUAAAUCAGUCAUGGAGGGCCAUGACUGGAACUCAAAGGAAUCCAAAGUCCAGAGUCCUCCAGGCAGUAGGCAGAACUGAAGUCAUCCAUAUAUGUAGAUACCUCCAUCCGAAUUCCUCUCAUGCAUUUCUUCUGUUGAGAUACUGGGGCAAGUUCUGGAGGAGAUGCGAGAGAUAUAAGCUAAGUAUGUAGUUGGCUGUCACAGUAGGGAAGUUAACAGCACAUGGAAUGACCAUGUGUGGUCAGUCAGUAGUUUAUGUCAGUGCAAUUCUUGUGAGUGGCAAUGCAGGACAAAUGUUAGCAUAAAAGUGGCAGACGGCGGCAUCACAGACUACAGAGGACAAUGAAUUAGCCAGGUAAUCAUUCCAAGUAUCUUCUAAAUAAGAACAGUCUAUUUGGGAAAUAGUUGAUAGAUGAUGAUAGCUUUGGAAUCCGCAUGGAAGGAAGGCCUACACUUCCGGGAAUGGAGAGGCCUACUUCCGGGGAAGAAAGUCCUUGUCAAGGUCCCUGCGGGUGCCUAAAGGUCAACCAAUGAGGAUCAGACCCACCUCAACCUUUAACCCCCAAGCCCUGAAUCUAUAAAAGGAGCUCUCCCAAUCUCUGACAUGCGACUUCCCCGGCCCCCGCUCUGUUGCUCUGUUGGGACCGGGGAACCUCGCCCGGGAGCGGAACCCCAAUAAAAGCCUGUGAAUUAAUUGAUUUGUUGGCCUGGGAAGAUCUGUUCUGCGCCAGACAACUUACAGAUGGUGCCGAAACCUGGGGAAAGACCAUCAGUUUAUUCUUUCAACAAAUAUUUACUGAGUGCCAAACCUGUAUAAGAUAUUACAAUAAAACCUGUACUAUAAAAAUGAAGUAAUUUAUUCCUAAUAAAUUACUUAAAUAAAUUAAUAAACCCUAUAUGACAUCUCACAUCUUCAAACUGCAUUUUGUGAAAGGGGAGAGCAUGUUUGUAACAGGAGUAGCUUGAGCAAACAGUAGUUGGCAGAAAAGUUCUGGCGUGCUGGGUUGAAGAUGAGAGGACACUUGGACAACAGGGAGACAUAGGCAUGUGCUAUGGCAUGCUUCCACACUGGAGUAAACAUGAGGUUCAUUGGGGACUUCAGCUGAGAAAUGUCCAUCUGAGUGGUCAUGAUAGAAUGUUGCAUGUGGGAAUUCAAUUUUUUAUGGGACUAAUCAUUUUAUCUAUUAUAUACAUUAACAAUAAUAGAAUUUCUUUUCCUAUUUCCUUGGAAGAUAGGAAGAUAUAUCAUUGAAAAGGCUUAGUCUGCUUCUCUGUCUCCUCUUUUUUAAGUAUUCAAAUCAAACCUACAGUUGUUAGGCCCUGACCCAAAACUCUGAUGAGCAAAUGCCGUGUUUACAAUAGACAAUAUUGCUGGGGAAAACACUCAUGUAGCCCACAUAAUCUUCUUAGGAAAUUAAAAAUCCCUAUCAAACCAUAUAAAAAUCAUUCCUAAAAUCCUAAAUGAGGAUAGGAUGAAUUAGAAGGAAAAGAGAGUAGAAGUGACAAAGGAAAUAAGGUGCUUAGAGCACUAGUUCCAGAGAAAGCUAACUGGAGUCCCAGCUAAGCCAGUGGCAGGAGAAUGGAAAUGCAGAGAGAAGCCAGAUCCCUCACAAAGGUCAAAUGGAAAUUGGAUGAGAAGAGAGAAGGUUGAACAGUUUGCAUUAAUAAUGGAGACAUGCAGUGAACUGAUUUAAAGGUUAGGCAAGGUCAGUAUGCAUAUGAUGGGCAUCUGUCUGACUUGAGAUUGUGACAGAUAGGGAGCCUGAAUUCACAGAGGGGUCAGGUAGCAGAGAGAAAUUCGGGACAUAUCUGCAAAGAGGUAUUCGAAGAGUUAGAGCCAAUAUCUAAGUUAGUCAUUUAGAUAUGGAAUUUUGCCAACCUUUGAAAAUAUUAAAUAUGUGACAACAAAGUCUAAAUUGUAUUUUUUUGUCAGGCAGAGUUAGACAGUGAGAGAGAGAGACACAGAGAGAGUUAUAGACAGUGAGAGAGAGAAAGAGAGAAAGGUCUUCCUUCCGUUGGUUCACUCCCCUAAUGGCCGCUAUGGCCGGCGCUGCACUGAUCCGAAGCCAGGAGCCGGGUGCUUCCUCCUGGUCUCCCAUGCAGGUGCAGGGACCCAAGCACUUGGGCCAUCCUCUGCUGCCCUCCCGGGGCACAGCAGAGAGCUGGACUGGAAGAGGAGCAACCAGGACCAGUACCCGGCGCCCCAACGGGGACUAGAACCCAGGGUGCUAGCACCGCAGGCAGAGGAUUAGCCAAGUGAGCCAUGGCAGCGACCCUAAAUUGUAUUUUUUUUCUUCACUGAUAAGACUGGCCUGGCCUCCACUCAUCAGUCUUAGUCUUUUUCUGGAGCCCUAGUGUGGCUCACCUGAAGCCACCUACUUUCAUGUCGGGAUCCCAGGCCUUGUAAAGUCCUAGACUUCCCCAGGACCCAACACAACUCCUUCUCUCUUGUCACCCAUCACUAUUGUGGGUGUGAAGGCAAGAGUUCGUUAUUCCUCCUCCCUUCCAGCUGGCCAUGUAUCUACAUGUAUGGCCCACAGGCUUAGACAGUUGAAUAGAGGCAUAAAGAGGCAAAUGGGCCUGACUCAGCCUUUUCCCCUCUCUUAUUUAUCCCACUGGGUACUAUCCCUAGAGCCAGAACAGUCAUUGUUCUACACUGAGCCAACAAGCACAAGAGAACUUCAGAGGCACAAUGGCCUGAUAGACUUAAGCCUCCAAACCCGUAGCAGCAGCCUUCCACGUCUAGUCUUCUUGUUAUGCAAGCAAAUGAAAUCCUUAUUUGUGUUCGCAACUCUAAGGUUUUCUGUGACUCCCAGCCAAGCAUGUUCUUAAUUCCUGUAUUGUGCUGUUUUGUGGGGUUGAGAAUUUCCUCAAGGGCAUGUUCUAGUUUUCUACUGCUGUGUAACAAGCAACCUCAAAGCAUAGUGGCUUAAAGUAACAAUGACCAUUUAUUUUACACACAAAUCUCCUAUUUGGUCAGGGCUCAGUGAUAAUAGUUCCUCUGCUCCAAGUGGUAUUAGCUGGAAAACUUUGAUAGGGGACUGGAGACACACUUACAGAGUUUAUACUAUCCAGCUUGACUUGGAUAUUGGUUGGAGUUCUGGGUCAGAGGUCUGUAUUCCCCUCCAUGUGUGCCUUCCGUGGUUGCCUGGGCUUCUACAUAACUUGGUGGUUGAAGUCCAAGAGCAAGUGUAGCAAAAUAACAAAGGCCAAGUUCAUGGAAUUUUCACAACUUACAAGCACAACUGCCACCAUAAUAUAUUGGUUGAGGUAAUCACAAAUACCCAUCCAGGUUGAAGGAGAAAUGAGCAUCAAUGGUGUCUCUUAAUAGGGCUAUAGCAAGGCUCUAGAGCAUGUACGAUGAAAGAUAUCGCUGCAGCCAUCUUUGGGAAAUAAAACUCCUAGACGGUAUCUUACCAGAAUGCAUGUAUCUGCUGAUAAUUGCUUACCAUUAUUGCACUCUACAGUUUAUGGAUUAUAUUUGUAUUAUAGAAGAAAAAAGAAUACAUUGAAAGCAGAGUACUUACUUGCUAAAAAAUCCUGACAAAGUUUUCAAAUAAGGGAAGUCACAUGGACUAACAAGUUACCUACCUUCUCUGUGUAAUAUUAACCAGAUAGCCCAAGACUUGUCUUGAAGACCAAGUGCAUUUUAAAGAGACACAUUUAAUCCUAUUCAGUUAUAGGGGUCCUCACUGGAUGGUAGAUAUAGAAGAACUGUAUGUUUGGCCUUCUCCCAACCAAGUAAGAAAACUCUGUCAUGUAGGCAAGAAUUCAGUUUGUGUAUGUGUGUAGGAGUGUGUUGGGGACAAGACCACCUUACCAGAGACCAAAAAUAACAUCCAUCAGUGCUAGAAAGAGCCACAGUCACCAUUAAAUAUUUUCCAUUAGAGAGAGUCCCUCAUUUUUGUCCAAUGAUGUCAGGAAACAAUAAAAGGGUAUUGUGUUGGUGAGUAGCCAGUCUGCCCUCAAACCUAUUCUCUGACCUUGCCUUGCUCUGCUGUAGCACAUGGAAUGACACUUCCAAGAUUGCUCUGCCAGUGGGGCCCUGGUAGAAGGCUAGAGGUGAGAGAACAGGAGAAGCCAGUGUUAUUGUUCCCUCUCUCUGCUUCCUCUGCUGCCUUUGGCAGCAUAUGGGUCUCCCUGUGUGGCAGACAGCUUUGGCAAUGGUUCCAAGGAGCCUGCCUUCCCGGUAUCCAUGUCCUUGUGUAGCCCCUUUCCUUUGAGUGUGAACUGCACAUGUUCUAAUAAAUAGCGUAUGGCAAGAGUGAUGGGAUAGUGGGUCCAAGGUUAGCUGAAAAAGAGACUGUGACCUCUGUCUUGCUCAUACUCUUUUCCCCUCUCACGUGCUUGCUCUGACGAAGCCAGGUGCAAUGUUGUGAGCUAUCCAGUGUGGCCAGCAACUGAGGGAGCCCUCUUGGUAACUGCCUGUGAGGGGCUGGGUCCUUCCAAAAAUGGCUGAGUGAGCAGAUUCACUCCAGGGCACACAGAUGAUUGCAGCCCUGGCCAACACCCUGAUUACAGCCUCCAGGGAUUCAGAGUCAGGGGAACAGCUAAGUCCCACCUGGUCUCCACACCCAUGGGAACUGUGAGAUAACGCAGGUCACUGGGGCUGAUUGGUUCUGCUCAAAGAUAACUAAAGUGGAGUUUCCAGCUCCCUCCAGCAGUUCCUCUUGUUAUCAGCAGGUAGGGCUGGGUGGGCUCUGGGGGUGUUACCCUUGUUCUCUCCAGCCUGGGGUGGAGGGGCCUGCUACCCUUGCUUGUGCUGUGUUGCCUUGCUGUCUCCUGUUUGGGUUUUCAGAUCCCUUAUCACCUGUACUCAUAAAGCUUAUAUCCUGUUUGAACCUCUCACCUUGUGUAGUUUAUGUUUUUCUACAUGAAUCUUGCCUGAAAAGGUUACAGCCCACACAUUUGGUAAAAUGCCUCUCUUCAUGUCCAUAGGGUUUUUGUGUCUGGGAAGCUUUCCCUCUUGCUGUAAAAGUCAGAGCCUCAAAGGUGCAGGAGUGGAUCACAGGUGGUCAUUGUACAAGGGAGUGCCCAGUGCCCAAGGCAAGGAGGUGGUGAGAAAAAAAAAAGGCAUACUUUGGUGCCUAAUUUUGUGUUUUUAAUUUGGUAAUCAUUUCCAUAAACCUUGGUCUGCUCUUAAGGUAGACUGGAUAUGAAAACUAUUGAAGGCCUAACAAUAUCUUUAAUUCAAUGAAAACAGCAAUUUAAUUAGACAAAAAAAGGAUCUAAAAUUAAUAUUCUACUACCACUUAACAAAAGCUUUUGACCUUUUCAUUUUUCCUCUUAUCAACAAGGCUUGCAAUUGCUGUUUUCAUUUGGGUUGGUUUUAAAAAGAAAAGCAUAAAAGCUGAAAGAUCAAUAGGAUUUACCUUUGUUUAGUAGCUAAACUCAGUCAUUUUCAUUGGAUGGCCAAACUUCUGGGUCUUUUCUCAGAGAAGCAGGUCUAUAAAUCUUCUCUUAUCUGUCAUAUAUGGGGCUAAUUCCUAGUUAAAGUCUCUCCCCUUUAGAGAGAGGUUGGUAACUAAUGAAAGAAGAGUGAAUGAGAUUCAGUAGGAGCUUCUAGCGAAACGUAGAUGUCCCUAUAGAAGGAAUUUCCGUAUGACAAUCAUUUUACUAGCAGUAGAUGAGGUUGAGAAAACGUGUGGUAGUUAGGAAUAUAUACCUUAAUGGAGAAUAUUCCUGCUCAGGAACAAGUCAUUGGGAUAUAGAUGCAGACCAACACUAUUAAAAAAAUAAUGAUAAGACACGCUGCCAUCACAUUAAAAUUUUUUAAGGAAAAUACAGUUUUAAAAAACUUCCAAACAGCAAAGCUUUCCUGAUCUAAGGUUACAGCAGGAAGGAGUAAGAAACCUUUGUGGCUUUCUUUUAGACUUCCAGAUUCUGUGAUCUAUGAUGCCAUUGCUCAGAAAUCAUUUCCAUUCCACUCGAUCAACCUUUCAAAUUAAAUAAAAAUAAUAACAUUCUGGAUGCAACUGCGUUACUUUAUAGAAACCAGUAAGAAAGCUAAUAACUUUUUCCGCCACUGAUUUUUAGAAGACAUGUCCUGCUAAAAAUAUGCUUUUAUCAGAACCAAUGCAGAAAAGCACAACAAAUUGCAUUUAGAAAGUGGCAUCUUUCUGAACAACCAGCAAUAUUCCUGUUCUAUAAUAGGACAUCAGCCUCUGAGAAUACAGUGGCUUCUGCUAACCUUGAAGGAUUGCGUCUGUCCAUCCGUUCAUUACUGACUCCUAUAUCCCAGGAGCCAGGAGGGAUCUUAGAGGUUAUUAAUUCCCUCUCCAUAGAAGGCAGUCAAACAAAUUGAGGUGCUCAGUGAUUGAGUGAGGUCCCUAAAUCCCAUAGCGGGUCUAUGGUGGAGCAAGGCUAGCCCUCAGACCUCCUGGCUCCCAGCUGGAUCGGAGAAGAAAUUGCAUUACCUGGUAAAUAUGGUUACAUGAAAGAUUGACUUAAUGACUUUAUGUUCCCUUAGAGGCAAAUUCAAGUCUCCAUGUAGGAAAGUCUCAAUUGUCAGCUUUUUGGUAGUAGGACCUGUCUUACCUGAAUGAUAAACUUUCUGUUAUGAAGAACAAUAAUCUGGAAGUGAUGAAAUGGUCCCAGUUGAAUCACUGGGUUGCAACAGAGAUGAAUCACACUGUCAUAUUCUCUGUGGUGUCCAAACUAUUCCCAAACCAGAUUCUAGGUCCUUUUCUUGCUUUACUUUAUUGUCUUUUUAAUAAGCCCUAUCUGUUUUCCUAUUUAAAAGUCAGAUAAUUUUUUUUAUCAUAGCACUUCAAAAACAAUAUGGCAUUUUGUUGUGAGAUGUUGUCUUAUUUCCUUUGGAAAGAGACAAGGCUAAGUUAUAUGCUAUGAGGGAGUGUGGAAAAGCAGGUUAAAGUUCUGCAGGUGCACGUUAGUAAAAUGGUGCAGUCUUAUCUAUGGCGCGAUUUAUACCCCGGACACCAUCCUAGGCUCUAGCCCCCAACGCCAUGGCUGAAAGCCAGGUGACCCCAUGGCCCAACCACCAGUGUCAGCUCCACCCCCAUCCUAAUGGGAUUCACUGCUCCUACCUCCCUGCCCAACCCCCAGCAGAGGUUCAACAAGACCUGUUCCUGAACAUGUGGCUCUCUCUCUGUUUCUUGAUCUCUCUCUCUCACUCUCUCUCUCACUCUCUCUCAUGCUCUCCUUCUCCCUCUUUUCCUUCUUCACCCCUCCCCUCGGUCUGUCUGGUUUCCCCACCAAUAAACCCUUUUCCUUAGUCCAGUGUUUGGUGUGUUUUGUGGAGGCCUUAACAGUACAUGCACACACAAAUAAAAAUAAAAUCUACAUUUUUUGAGCUAAAAUAGAAUUUCCUGAUAAAGUUCAAUAACUCUGUCAGUGUAAAUUCUGACUGAAAAUUCCAAAAACAAGAGAUUAUAUUGUCUUACCUAGAAGUGAGUUCUAGCCCAGUUCCCUGUUAAAGCUAUUAUAUAGGGGCUGGUGCUGUGGCGCAGUAGGUUAAUUCUCCACCUGCAGUGCUGGCAGUAUCCCAUAUGGGCACCUGUUCUAGUCCCAGCUGCUCCUCUUCCAAUCUAGCUCUGUGCCAUGGCCUGGAAAAGCAGUAGAAGAUGGCCCAAACACUUGGGCCCCUGCACCCAUGUGGGAGACCCAGAGGAAGCUCCUGGCUCCUGGCUUUAGAUCAGCUCAGCUCUGGCAGUUGCGAUCAUUUGGGGAGUGAACCAGCGGAUGGAAGACCUCUCUCUCUGUCUCUCCCUCUCACUGUAGCUCUACCUCUCAAAUUAAUAAAUAAAAUUUUUUUUUAAAAAAAAGCAAUUAUAUAAAAAUUUAUAAAAUGUUUAGGUUUUAUGAACUACAAUUUUUUGAAUUUUUCUUUCUAAGGUUGUCAAAAAUGCCCACAAUACUAGCCUAGCAUUUAAAAUCCUUUUGGGGGCCAGCACUGAUCUGCAAGGCAGGCAUUUCAUGUGGGCUCCAGUUCAAGUCCCAACUGCCCCACUUCCCAUCCAGCUCUCUGCUAUGGCCUGGGAAAGCAGUAAAAGAUGGCCCAAGUCCUUGGGCCCCUGCACCCAUGUGGGAGACCCAGAGGAAGCUCCUGGCUCCUGGUUUCAGAUUGGUGCAGCUCUGGCUAUUGCGGCCAACUGGGGAGUGAACCAAUGGAUAAAAGACCUCUCUCUCUCUCUCUGCCUCUCCUUCUCUUUUUGUGUAACUCUGACUUUCAAAUAAAUAAAUGAAUAUUUUAAAACAUUUAAAAAAAUCUUUUGUGCUUUAUGUAACAACAAAAAAAAAGUGCACCGUUUCAGACCGAGAUCACUGAAUGGAUCACUUGGUGUUUGAAUAUUUAAGUAGGAUUGAAAAUUGUACUCACAUCACAUAGAUGAGUAUAUGCAGUACUCUGAGACUUAGAUUUUCUAUGUUCGCUCAUAUCUGUCAAUUAAAUUUGAUUUUUCUUUACUUUUGCAACUAGUAUAUAAAAAUUAAUGAGAUGAUAAAACAAAGAAUAAUAAACUGAUAGAGCAGAAAUUUUCAGGUAAAAAGACAAGCUUAUAUAUAUAUUAAGGUUCAGCAGAUUUCAUCUUAAAGAGUAAAAGAAUCCUUUCUACAUUCUCUCUAAACUGGGAAAUAUUUCUGUGGAUUUGGUUCAAAAAUAACCUUGAUACACUGUAACCUUGAGCUAAGGCCAAUGGAAAAGUUAAAAUACACAGAAAUAUUGUUUUUUAUCAGAGUUAGCUGCAGGGCAUAAAGAGGCGGGGACUAGGUGAAAAUUAGAGGAAAGUGACAGCCAGAAAGGAACUAGGAAAGGCAUCUUAAUACAAAACAGGCUCCUUCCUCUACCAGGCCAACACCUGGCAUUCUUUGGGGCUGACCUUGGCAUCAUUUUGUUUCUUGGUUGUUAAUGCAGAUUCAAGUCCUAGUGGAUAUCCUUUUUCUUUUCUUAUGUAGAAUGACUUUCUACUGUUUGUCUCUUGCACUAGGGACUAAGCUUGAAUUCAUCUUUGCAACUGCAGUCACAAUGCUUGGCAUAUAAUAGCACACAAAGGUGUUUGAUGCACGGAUGGAUGGAGGCAUGGAUGCAUAGAUGUAUGGACGGAUGAAUGAAUGUUUAGAGCUAUGAAUGAAUGAAAAAAGCAAAUGAAUGAGCAUUUAUCCUCAGAUUGUUUUAAACCUUUGGGGAUUUUUUAGCCUCAAUCUAGAUAUGAAUCAGUUUCACCUGUAAGAUGGAUGUGUGGCAUUGUAUCCUCCCUUCUUCCCUGAGGGUGCUGGCACACAGUAAAAGUUCAAUACAUAAAUGUUUAUUAAGUGACAGUCUAGAGAGAGAUUGUCUGGUCUCCAAAUAACAUGUAAGAAACCAUUAUUACUGAUAUUUCUAUACAGGAAAGAGGGAAAACUGAAUGUUUGGGAUGAAAGAGCUCAGUCUUUCAAUUAUAUUUACAAUCAAUACAAAUGUCCUUUCUGCAGUGGCUUCCUCACCUCCCCCGCCCCCACCACCAGAUCCUCUCCUUAUACCCAUGAAUUGGGAGGAAAGCACCAGCAAAUUUUGUUUCAUUGUUCUACAUGUGUACCAGUCACUUUUCCAAGUGGGAAUACUAAAGAUGAUAAUUGUUAUGUUGCCUCAUCUUGUCUGGAUAGGUCCCCUUUAGUGGUUUCCUGCUGGUAAACCACUAACAACAUGAAAAGAACUGAACAAGAGCAAAUGAAAAGUAAUAUGGGGUGUUCUUUGAACAAAUCAAACCUCCUGUUUGCAGGUUAUCUCUGAAUUAUAUGUAAAUAGAUAGAGACAGAGCUGUCAUUUGGUGCUCUCUUGGAUACGCUUCGGUCAGAGUAGAGAGACUCUUAGUCAAGGGAAGGCAUGGUAACAAGUGAUCAGACGCCAUAGUUUGGGCACUUGACUGAUUACCAUGGCUGUUAGAUGUUGUAGGACACCUGGGUUAAUGCUGCAGCGCUUCAGGUGUCACUUCUGCUCCUGUGGGACUCAAGCUACCAGAGUCCUUGGUGGGUAAUUUCUAUGCAAUCAGAAAUAGACUUGAGCCGGCACCGCGGCUCACUAGGCUAAUCCUCCACCUUGCGGCACCGGCACACCAGGUUCUAGUCCCGGUUGGGGUGCCGGAUUCUGUCCCGGUUGCCCCUCUUCCAGGCCAGCUCUCCGCUGCGGCCAGGGAGUGCAGUGGAGGAUGGACCAAGUACUUGGGCCCUGCACCCCAUGGGAGACCAGGAUAAGUACCUGGCUCCUGCCAUCAGAUCAGCGUGGUGCGCUGGCCGCAGCGCGCUGGCCGUGGCGGCCAUUGGAGGGUGAACCAAAGGCAAAGGAAGACCUUUCUCUCUGUCUCUCUCUCUCACUGUCCACUCUGCCUGUCAAAAAAAAAAAAAAAAAAAAAAAAAGAAAAGAAAAGAAAGAAAGAAAUAGACUUGAACAACACACUAACAUAAAGGAAAUUUUGCCUGAGGCUAUGUUAGUUUUAUUUUAUCUCACAUAACUUGUCUUUUGUGGAGGAAACAGUCUUACUCCAUUAUUGAUGAUUUGUGCUAUUACAUGGAGACAAGGUGGAGAUAGUGAACAUAAUACGUGACCCUAAAGCAAUUGCUUUUUGUUCCGAGAAUGUAGUAGGAGAGACCACUUUGUCAUAAUGACUCACCCACAGAUACCUUCAAGGCUGACUUUUCACACCCUUUUUUCCUAAUUUUUUUUUUUUUGAAUGGCUGAGUAGAUAAUUAAGAGAAUACAUGUAAUGGCUACAUGGCCAUAUCUACAUCACAGGAUCAUCAAAAAGUUGGGAUUCUGGCCCUAUGUACUCAAGAAACAAAAAAUGGAUCUGCAUUUUCCCCAUUUCAGUCUUCAGAGGGGGUAAAAAGCCCCAAUGAGUAAUGCUUCCCUCUGUGCUCUGUUCUCAAAAUAAUAUCAUCCAGUCAUGCCAUUCCUCAAGCUCCUUGAAUAGGGGCCAAGGUGCUCAGACACACUUAUCUCUAUCAUUUAUCAAGCGUGGUUAAGGAGACAAGACAUAGAUCACACCUAGUACAGUAACAAGGAAGAGUUUGAGAUGGUAUCUAUAAAACUUAGUGACACAUACAAUCAGUUUGUGUGACACCAGAAAUCCUUUAGUCUGGCUUCACAUACAGAGGGGCUCGUUCAGAGUAAUCAUUUGUGUUUCUUUUUCCUUUGGCUGUUGUCCCAUCUGCUAAUAUAGAAUCUCAAUACUCUAGGAAAUCAUGACCUCACACAUGACUGGGUGCCUUCAAGCAAUAAGGCUCCACGCACGACUGGAUCUCCAUGCAGCUCUGCAGCUUCCACUAGGUGCCCUGUGUCUAUUAGGACGCUAAAGCUGGCACUAGGGCUGCACCUUCCUUUGAUGCCUUGGGUAAAACCAAACCUACUAGACACUGCCACCUCUACGAGCCUCUGCUGUCCUCUUGCUGGCUGCCCUGGUCUCCUGAUGGGCCCUCCUGCUGCUUCUUACUCCCAAAAGACAUUGCUACAAAGGUGCCAGUGCUGCUUGGAGGCCUGUGCUAAAUUUGGGCUCUAACUCUCUCUUUCUCUCUCUCUGUCUGUUGGGUCACAUUGCAAUAAAAAAGAAAUGCAACUGGCUUGUGACCCAGUGUCACAUUGAAUUUUAAUUGAUACUUUUUUAAAGGACAGGCCUAUUUCUCCCUACCAUACAGCUAUAGUUACAGAAAGGCAAGCUCCAGGAUAAUUGAUAUGGUAAGCAUCAUUUUGUCCUGAAAAGGACUCUUCUCCAACUGCAAGGCUCGGUAAGUAGACAUUCUUUUUCCUAGAAUGAAUUCAUUCCCUGUUGGCACAUGAGCUCCCCAGCAGAAGCAAUAAACCGCUUGCCACCUGCUGGGCUUAUCUUCUCCUUCAUCAAACAUAGUAGCGGAGGCCCAGGUGGGGCUAAUGUGGGCUUUUUUUUUUUUUUUUCUUUUAGCCAAAACUAUUGAGAGUCAACUAGUGGGAAAGAUAGAGGCCACACUCAAGAAAGCAUGAGGAGGGUCAGAAUGGGCCAGCUCAUGUUGCCAUGAGGAAGCCUAGGGGUGACUGAGUCUAGCAGGGGGACCAAGAAGGGUCUUAAAGGAAUUCCAUUUGACACCUGCAGGAUGAAUAGGGGUGAGAGAGACAGAGAUGGGAAGAGAGGGGAGCUUCUGGUAGAGAGAAAAGUCUGUGGGGGGUUCAGGGAAGUGUGAGGAGUGGAGCAGGACUGAAAGGUGUUGGGUAUUGCUGGGGGAUAAUGAACCAAGGCAGUAGGUGGGGGAGCACAGACAGGGCAAUGAAGGUUAAGGUUAAGGUUUUCUUUUGGAGGCAAUAGGAAGCCAUUGAGGGUUUUGAAAUAGUGAUAGAGGAGGUGAUCUGAUUCUUGUGCAUGAAAGACCACAGUGGGGCAGAGGGAUUAGAAAAGGGCUGGAUGGGAGACAGGAAGACAGACCAUUUAGGAGGUCACUGCUAUUGCAUUGGCAACACAGGAUGGUGUAGUAGGGAGGAGGAGGAGAAACUUGCAUAGGCAAGAUGUAUUUAGGAGGUAGAGUUAAAGACCUGACCAGUGACUGAGUAAGAGCAUGAGGGAGAAGAAGCAGACAGCAGCCCUAGCUUCUGACAUGACAAAUAAAAGGGCUCCAGUGCCAUUACUGAAGUAGGAAUUACAGGAAAAGAAGGUGUUUUGAGAGGUCAUGGGGUUAACAGUUUUUACAAAUUGAAUCUGAAUUAUAUUGAGUUACCUUUAAAAUAUGAGCCAUUUAUAAAAUAUAUAAUAUUGAUAGAUCUCAAUACAUAUUAUGAAAAAUUUAUACACACAUUUCAAAAUUGUACCAAAAUAACAAUUUUGAAGCAAGCCCAUACAUUUUUUCCAUAAUGUGGAUUUUCCAUAAAUUUUUAGAAGGUCCGUGUGUGUGUGUGUGUGUGUGUGUUCUAUGUGUUCCUGGGUAUGGGGGAGUGGAAUAACUGUCUGUCUAUCUAUCUAUCUCUUGGGUUGAUCAUAUAGGGUCAAGGGUCCCAGCAUAGGAAUAGUAACUGUGAAGAUUAGAAAGGGUGAGAUUUCCUAGGGAGAGGGAGAAGGGUAGGAGGAAGUCUAUGGGUGCCUCAGGUGUGAAGGGGGUAGAAUAGGAGCUUCUGAGGCAGGAAAGCAUGGGCAGAGGGAAACAAGGGAUUCCUGAGGAAGGGAGCGCAAAGGGACAAAGGAAACGAGUGUCCUACAAAGAAGGUGGUUUCCAGUGGCCGAUGCCACUGAGAAGUCCAGAAAACUAAGGUUAGAGCCAGACUAUAGAGAUCUACAGUCUCCUCUCCUCUGCAUUAUGAGGGAAAGAGAAUUUGGACAUGAUCCAGUAAGCAGUGGGAAUCCCAGGAAGGAUCAUGAGCUGGAAAUCUAUGUGUUAAAGUUAUGUGUGUUUGCUGGUUUGGAAGCUGGGAGUCAGAGAGUUGUCCACGCUUGAGGGUGGAAGCACCUAAGGAAAGUGAUGCCGAUGCAAGAGAGCAAGACACCGACAUGAGAAACCUUUGGAGAAACCAUUUUCUCGUUGAAUCAUGGAUGGUAGUGAAAGAGAACAGUCCGUGGAGACCCUGAUCCGUCUAGUAAUGGCAGCAUGCCUCUUCGUUAUAAAUGUCAUAGUAAGCAAAGGUAGCCAGCCUUUGGGAAAAUUGAUAGAUUUCAUUUGAGGCCAUUAAGUUGUAGACAAUAUUGUAAAAUAUUGAUUUUUUUUUCUUUUGUAGGUGGAUGAAAAUGGUGCCUGCUACAGGUUCUCUGCUUGGUCACGUUUUUGCAUUUCUGGAAAUAUGGAAGUAAAUUUCACAGUUGUCAGAGUUCAGUUUUGCAACCUCCACACUCAAUUUCACAAUUUUAAAAUAUAGAUUAGGAGUGCUGAGGCAUUUUGGUUUCAUUUUAUAGUCCUUUCCCCUUACUCAGUCCUUUCAAUCUUGAGAUGUGGGCUUGGGGCUGGCGUUGUGGCACAGCGAGUUAAAGCCCCAGUCUGCAGUGCCAGCAUUCCAUUUGGGCACCGGUUCAAGUCCCGGAUACUCCACUUCCAAUCCAGCUCUCUGUUUAUGCUCCUAGGAGGGCAGUGGAAGAUGGCGCAAGUCCUUGGGCCCCUGCACCCACCUGGGAGACCUGGAAGAAGCUCCUGACUCCUGGCUUCGGAUCAGCUCAUCUCCAGCUGUUGCGGCCAUUUGGGGAAUGAACCAGUGGAUGGAAGACUUCUCUCUGUA